UUUCUUUUUCCAAGCGACUAUGUAAUUGUCAGCCCCGUUAUAGAAAAGGAAAACAAAGAUUCAGACAUGUAUGGCACCAUGAUGUUUCAUUUCACACUGGCUGACAUAUGGACCACAGAGGAGUUCAAUAUACAGGGCAUGCAAGAGGUAAUUCAAAUCGCUAAACACCACAAGGCCAACACAAAAGUAUUCCCCAUUGCUAAACAAAGUGGGAUUAAAACUUGACAGGACUUGAUGUCAGACCAACACUAGCAGGGACGCCAAAGCUUUUAUUUCUGUAGGAGGGCUCCUACGAAUGUAGGGAUUUGGCUUUGGAGAACAGCUUCGCGCGCUUGAGGAGUCCCGAGAGUCACUCGACCACCAUGCUCUCGGCCUCCUUCUUGAUGGAGUGGAAGAGCACCGACGAAAGGUAGCGCUCUCCGAAGCUUGGGAAUACAACCUACACAGGUGUGAAAUGUCAGCAUAUGGAUGCAACAUGUACUAGAUUGCUGCUAAAAGGCAGCCUCUCUUCACUUGGUGGAAUAGGUUAGUUUGCCGUAUGAGAGUUGACAAGUACAGAUAUCUCUCUAUAGGGUAUUCAAGAGUAAAUAAAUCUGUAGUUCAUUAGAUCAAUUCAUUUGUGUUUUGCUUAUUAGGUAGAUCAGAUGAAUUUUCAGGGGAAAGAGGCAUGCUAGAAACUACCAGGAGGGAAUGUGCCACUUACAACAAAGAGUUUCCCUGCAUUUUCAGGCCUCUGAGCAACCUUGAUUGCAGCUGCUGCAGCAGCACCAGAAGAGAUUCCAACCUACAAUUAUUUAGAUAGUCAAUGGCUGAUGCAAACACUUGGUUCUGAUUGACCCAUACAGACAGAUUGGAUAAAAAAAAUGUGUGCACGAUACUGCUUAAUACUCCCUUCGUCCCAAAAUAAGUGUCUCAAGCUCAGUACAACUUUGUACUAAAGUUAGUACGAAGUUGAGGCACUUAUUUUGGGACAGAGGGAGUAAUAGAUAAAUGUUCGAAAGAAACCCCACCAGCAAUCCUUCUUUCAAUGCCAGAGACUUUGCCAUCUCAAUGGACUCAUCACUUGAAACCUGGCAUACAAUUUGAACGGACCAAAGGUUACACCAGGGUAAAAGAUGCAGACAUAUGGAAAGAUAAACAGGAAAUAUCCAGCAAACUUCUAUUCUCGCGGGAGGAUUGAAAAAUUAGGAACAACUAAGCAAAAAGAUAUGUGGCGGAAAUUUUCUUAUAUAGUGCCUUCUCUACAACUCUACUUAGUGCAAGAAGAAAAAUCACCUGUAUGGUUUCAUCAAUGAUGUCAACAUCCAAGACACCAGGGAUAAAACCAGCUCCAAUUCCUUGGAUCUUGUGUGGUCCUGUUCACAAUAACUGAAUCUUGUUGGUACAGAACAAGCAGUGUCAAGAAUCAAAGCAGAACAUUUUUGGUGCAAAAUGCUGUACAAAGUUGUUUCUUCCUAACGGACAUCUUUCUCACAUUACGGACCUCCAGAAAAAGGCGCCUCAUGAGGCCAUAUUGGAAAUAGUUAACCAUCUGAGUAUUCUUAUUUAUAUUACAAUAAUAUUGACAAGGUAUUUCAGAUGACAAGUCAAAGGCAAUGCAAAGAGAAACUCAAUUUUUUUAGAUGCUAGUGGUUGUGGUUGGGGGAACUUGACCAUUUCUGUUAAUGGAUAUUACGAGAUGAAUUUAAUGAGUGAAUGUAUUUAGAAUGAAUGGAAUGUGAUACAGAAGGAAACAUUACCAGGCUUUCCACCAUUUAAGAUAGCAC
rnacentral:lncRNA from 1 species